rnacentral:rRNA from 1 species
GACGAACGCUGGCGGCGUGCUUAACACAUGCCAGUCGAACGGAAAGGCCCUGCUUUUGUGGGGUGCUCGAGUGGCGAACGGGUGAGUAACACGUGAGUAACCUGCCCUUGACUUUGGGAUAACUUCAGGAAACUGGGGCUAAUACCGGAUAGGAGCUCCUGCUGCAUGGGGGGGGUUGGAAAGUUUCGGCGGUUGGGGAUGGACUCGCGGCUUAUCAGCUUGUUGGUGGGGUAGUGGCUUACCAAGGCUUUGACGGGUAGCCGGCCUGAGAGGGUGACCGGCGACCUUGGGACUGAGAUACGGCCCAGACUCCUACGGGAGGCAGCAGUGGGGAAUAUUGCACAAUGGGCGGAAGCCUGAUGCAGCAACGCCGCGUGCGGGAUGACGGCCUUCGGGUUGUAAACCGCUUUCGCCUGUGACGAAGCGUGAGUGACGGUAAUGGGUAAAGAAGCACCGGCUAACUACGUG